CUGGUUAAUAAGAAUCAGCUGUGCAGCCGAACAUCCAUAACUCCGUGUGUAACUGAAAUAAAUAAACGAUUGGAACUCGUGCUCCGUAUAUGACGCCGUAAUGCCUCGUUAUACGAUCGGACCGGCGCAGGUUUCUACUGCUCGGUUUGUGUUCGAAUGGAGGAGUUAACGAUCGUGAGCGUGAAGUGUUACUGGUGGUAGUGUUUUUAGAAAGUCCAGUAAGGCACGGCGCGGUGUGAGCGAGUUCAUGUUUGAAAGACGGACACUUUGGCACGGUUCAGCGUUUCCACAUCACUCCGGCGCUUUAUGGCGAGCUGCAGCGUGGGCAGCUCCGAGACGCGUUCAGUCAAACCGUACUCAGCUUAAUUGCUUCUGGGAAGAAGGGAAGAGUAAGACGGCGAGUGGAAACGUGAGGUUUAAAUAGCGCCAUCGAUCGCACUCGAGUCAGAUAUCCAUUCCGUUUUUUUUCUCUCCGUAAUGUGAAAACGAUGGAAGCGUGUUUUUGUCCUGCGUGAUGUCAUGUGAUGUCAUGUCAUGUGAUGUGAUGUCAUGUGAUGUGAUGUCAUGUCAUGUGAUGUCAUGUGAUGUGAUGUCAUGUCAUGUGAUGUGAUGUCAUGUGAUGUCAUGUGAUGUGAUGUCAUGUGAUGUGAUGUCAUGUGAUGUGAUGUGAUGUGAUGUGAUGUCAUGUGAUGUGAUGUGAUGUGAUUUAUCUUGGCCUGAUGGAGGAAAUAAACAUGCAUCCAGUUACAGAUUUAUCCAGAUUUUUAUUCCCGGUGUCUGAUAAUCCGACCGGAAUAGCGAACGUUCAUUUCACGUGAACACGUGACGGAAAGAAUUUAAAUCUGUGCAGUACAGACGGAAUGAUUUGAGAAGCUGAGUGAGCUGACUGGACUCGUUUCUCGACCAAACCUCGCCCCACGCACGCGCGUAACCUCGGAUACGGUGAUGCGGAGCGGUCCGUACAGGGUCUCUCCGGGGUUUGUUUUUGUAAUCGUCGUGGCCAAAAAAACGCUCUAUUUAUUUAUUUAUUUAUUUAUUUAUUUAUUUAUUUAUUUAUUUUCAAAAUCCACGAUGCAGCUUGCAGUUUUUUUUGUUUUUUUUUAACGCGAUCCGGUGAAAUCGCAAGAAAUUCUUUCGCAGUGAUGUUUGCUGGUAAACGAGAGCUUUUAGACGCGCGUGAAUGGGAGAGGGAUUUGGCUGAAUGCACGUUAGGAUGUCACGUGACACGUCUUGGGCCAAAUCUGUUGAGUUUCCUUGAUUUUGAGUUGAUUUCUGCGCUCGGGGAAUCCCGGACGAACCGUAUGUGGAACCUUGAGGGGAAAAUUGUUCGUUCCUUUUUCACGUCUUUAAAAGCCUCGGCCUCGGCGUCCCUGUCGGUUGAUUCGGGGUUGCAGCGCAGCUGCUGAAAUUCCUGCCGCUGUUCGCACCGUGGACGUGGAGCGCGUGUUUGCAGGAGCCGAGCGACCGACGGUGUUUACGGCGCGAGAAGAAAUUCAGGGAUUUGUGGAACGGGAGCCGAGUCUGCUGCCGCGUUAUCGUCUCGGCCCCGUGGUUGGCUGGUCGGCGCUCGGUCUGUAGAGGGUGCGGUAUUUUCCGGAGCCUUCUCUGGUGCCGCCGUCGUGUCGGAGGUCUCGUCUAGAAGUGUGCGAGUGUGCGGGAGAGAGACGUGCCGAGGUCCUUGUAUUAUUCAGCUAGUCUGUGUGAAGGGUCUGUAGAGACGUGUGUAAGAGGAGAAGGUUCCACGUCUGCGCCCGUCUGGAUGAAGGAUCAGGUUCGAUGCGGCAGACUGUCCUGUAGCUCGAGUUCGGUACUUUUGGUACGGUACCGUAUGCGGGAUGCGUUCGUUUCUUUAUAUCAGAUUAUGUAAACGUCUUCUGUAGCAGGUGCAGUCGGUGAGAUGUUUACACGUUUAAAGGUGCAGUAUGCGUGUACACAAGGCUCCGCCCACAGAAUUACGGCACUUCAGCUAGCGUUAUUGUUAGCCGGACUGUCGUGACAUCACUUACGACCGCCAAGCCUUCGCCGUCCCGUUUUUCUUUGUAAUGGUUGGUUAUCAGGCUGCGCUGGGCGUUGGCUGAUUUCAGACUGAGGUGUGGGCGGAGUGUGUGGGUGUUUGGGGAGUGUCUAAAAUGGCUGACGAGGUCCAUGUUAACAAAAACAAACGGCUCAGGCUGAGGUUGUGGCUCGUUAAAAAAAAAAAAAAAAAUUUAAAAAUCAUGAUCUAAGUAUUUAUUUCUGCGUUGUACUAAAAGUAAAAACAAAAGUCUGUGAGAGUCAUGAUUCGAUUCUGGUGCGAGUGUUUUCCACAGCAGAUUCGCCUCUGACGCGAUCUGAACAGACUCGAGUGCCGUAGCACAGCGAUUAAAGUGGUUUUGGGGUAAAAACGCGAGCUGAAGGUUGUCGAAAGUGACGUUAAUCUUCAACAAAGCUAUCAGACUGGAUAUCAGGCACGACAACUGCAGCACCACGUCGUCCGCCAUCUUGUUUGAGUUGAGUCGAGUCACAUGACCACAGAUACAUCAUUAUGAAUGGAAUGGGUCUGUUUUCCCGGUCCGCGAAAGCCGCGUUUUCAAAAGACGUAGCGGGAGAAGGUGUUCUGAGAUGGAUCCGGGUUAAUGUGGACAUGGCGUCAUUAUUAAAGAGGAGCGAUUUGAUCCAGAGGAUUGAUUGGUUUCUUGUCCAGAUCGCGGUUGUUUCCUGUCGUCUGGCUUUAAUAGCGCAACGUCACUACGCUUGUGUCACAUGAUAGAACGGAUGACGUUAAUACGUGUGUGUGUGUGUGUGUGUGUGUGUGUGUGUGUAUCGGAGCGUAAUAUCGUAUCGGUGCGUCUAUAGCAUUUGACUCGAAGUCUCGUUGACGGAGCAGAUUGCGUUCUUUAUCUGGCGCGUUUUAUCAUUAAGCCUCAGAAAAUCCCCAAUUUAACUUCCUUUUUUUUUUUGUUGCGUCCAGGUCACAGGACGUUCAUUAAUCGGUCUCCCAUGACUUUCAUCCUUCAGAUUAUUCUGAGAUCAUACGUUUAUGAUGCGUUCUUCCACCGGAAAAGAAAAGUAACGCUCGACCCGUCCGGUGUUUUGUCGCGCUGCGUGUUUAGCGUGCGCGGCCGAUGGACGCCUCGUCAGAGUACAGAACGCGGAUACGGGUCACGCCGGCGGUGGGUUUUUAUCCGUCAUCACGCCGAUGAGAUGAAAGGCGGUACGAUGAGAGGCGAGGCGGGGCCGUAACGAGUCUCCAUGAUGCUGAACCUUCUCAGAAAGUCUGCCGAGACCCGAUGACGGACCGUUACACCGCGGAGAGGAGCGUACGCGCCGACGUUGGUGUAAAUGUGAUUUCCCUCUCCGUCUCCAUGCGAGAGCGCUGAGAGAUGGAUUUAUUCUGACUGAGCAUGGUCACGGUGACCCCGAUUCAUAACAGAGUCUAAUUGUGCAGUAACUGUACGUAAUUAAAUCACCUGAAAGCACCUGUCCUGCUUCUGCGCUCAUUUCCCCCCGAUCGCUUCACAUCUUCCCCCCCCCCCCCCCCCAGACCUUCUUGUGACCUUCGGACGAGGAUAAUUACUGUGAUUUCCUCGAUGACGUCCACCGCUAUCUUUAAACCGGUUACACGCUCGUCUCUUCAUCAGAUACGUCAGCAGGCUGAUGGGUGAUCGGUGACGUUUAUCAGACGUUUGCUUUGGAGAAAUCAUCAGUGGGAACCCGCACGCGUGAUCCUGAACGUUUUGGACUCCGUGAUUCCGAGCGCCGACGUCCCAAUUCGAUGUCCGCGGCGUUCCUCGUGGAGUACGGUCGGAGCGUUACCUCACCGCGGCCUGUUUUUUCCCGGAGGGUUGAAGUUGUUUCGACUCUAGAGCCGACGAGCGGCCCUACCGAUCUUCACACCAUCUUCACAUCGCCGCCAUAUCUGCUGCCGUGAAAUGAAACCGCGGACUGAUUUCAGUUCGGCUCGUCUGCAAAUUCACCGUGUGGGUUUUUCUCCGAGCGCAAACGAGGAGGAGGAGGAGGAGGAGGAUGCUCCUGUACUCCUGCUUCAUCAGAGGAGCCGGUUUACGUUCACAGCUUCUCUAGGAUCCAGUAGAACUCUGCAGCUCGUUAGCAGCCGGUCUUGAGAUGGAGCGGUGUCUUCACACGCUCUGACGCGCUUCACACGGUCGAGUCCAGACGAAACGGCGGGUUAAGGGAAAGCGGUGCGCGCGGCACAAUUUUCUCCUGGAUUCCUCAGUCGCUGACUGACUGUGUGACUGUUCUGUGUGAUGAACCGAGUAGCAUGAGCUCCACUGUGACUGGCAGCAAGAACACUGCCGAGAAACGGUCGAUGAGAAUCCGAGGGCAAAUCGGCUUCGUUUCCUGUCCUGCGCAGCAGAUCCCCGAAUCCAGGUGAUCAUCCGUCCGUCUGUGUCGGAGUGGCAGCAGGAACCAUAAAUUAGCAUUUUUAUAUGAAAUUCUGUGGCGUGUCGAGAUUAAACGGUUGUUAGGAACAGCGAGAACAAUCAACCAAACACGUCUGGAAGCGGACGGAGUAAAAACGGCGACGGUUCUCCUCCCUCCGUCUCCGCCUCCUGUUCCCGGCAGAGCAGACGAUCCUGACUGCCUGCGUCUCCCCAGCGGUUAUUCGUCCGAGGUUUCCCCUUAUUUCUCUUUUGCUUGUUUAUGAAAGAGAUGGUGCUCGAGUCAGGAUAGACAGGUCCGAUCUCAGCCCAACACCCCCGCAAGUGCUGAAGUGGAACGAACAGGAGAUGAAUCGGAGAAUCGGAUCAUCAACAAGCUUCAGAUAUCGAUCGUGUUCCAUUUGUAAUUAGAUGUGAGAAUGUUCGGGACAUUGAAGCACUGUCAUCUCAAAUAACCUCUCUCUCUCUCUCUCUCUCUCUCUCUCUCCCUCU
ensembl:lncRNA